GGUACAAUGGCUGAGAUGGCAAAGCGCCUGCCUAGUAAGCAGGAGAUCACGAGUUCGAGUCUCGUUGGUACCU
rnacentral:tRNA from 1 species